UACGGAGGGUGCAAGCGUUGUUCGGAAUCAUUGGGCGUAAAGCGCGUGUAGGCGGCUUGGCAAGUCAGUUGUGAAAGCCCGGGGCCCAACCCCGGAACUGCAUCUGAAACUGCUUGGCUGGAGUCCCGGAGAGGAAGGCAGAAUUCCCGGUGUAGGGGUGAAAUCCGUAGAUAUCGGGAGGAAUACCAGCGGCGAAGGCGGCCUUCUGGACGGUGACUGACGCUGAGACGCGAAAGCGUGGGGAGCAAACAGG
rnacentral:rRNA from 1 species